rnacentral:rRNA from 1 species
CCUACGUGGUGCAGCAGUGAGGAAUAUUGGUCAAUGGGCGAGAGCCUGAACCAGCCAAGUCGCGUGAAGGAUGAAGGAUCUAUGGUUUGUAAACUUCUUUUAUAUGGGAAUAAAGUGAGGAACGUGUUCCUUUUUGUGUGUACCAUAUGAAUAAGCAUCGGCUAACUCCGUGCCAGCAGCCGCGGUAAUACGGAGGAUGCGAGCGUUAUCCGGAUUUAUUGGGAUUAAAGGGUUCGUAGGUGGUUAAUCAAGCCAGAGGUGAAAGUUUGUGGCUCAACCAGACAAUUGCAGUUGCAACUGGUUGGCUUGAGUAUGUUUGAGGUAGGCGGAAUGCGGGGUGUAGCGGUGAAAUGCAUAGAUAUCACGCAGAACUCCGAUUGCGAAGGCAGCUUACUAAACUAUAACUGACGCUGAAGCACGAAAGCGUGGGGAUCAAACAGGAUUAGAUACCCCAGUAGUC